GCCUUUGUGACGAAAUUGGUAGACGUGUCAGUUUUAGGAACUGAUGUCUUUAAAGACAUACCGGUUCAACUCCGGUCAAAGGCA
rnacentral:tRNA from 1 species